rnacentral:rRNA from 1 species
GACGAACGCUGGCGGCGUGCUUAACACAUGCAAGUCGAACGAACAGGCCCUGCUCUUGUGUGUUGCUCGAUUGGCGCACGGGUGAGUAACACGUGAGUAACCUGCCCUUGACUUUGGGAUAACUUCAGGGGACUGGGGCUCAUACCGGGUAGGAGCUCCUGCAGCAUGGUGGUGGAUGGAAAGUUUCGGCGGUUCGGGCUGGUUUCGAGGCUUAUGAGCUUCUUGGUGGAGUAGUUGCAUACCAAGCCUGCGACGGCUAGCCGGCAUGAGAGGGUUGACGGGCACAUGGGGCCUGAGAUACGGAGCAGUAUCCUACGGGACGCAGCAGGGGGGAGUAUUGCACAGCGGGCGGAAGUCUGAUGUAGAGACGCCGCGUGCGGGAUGACGGCUUUCGGGGGGUAAACCGCUUUGGCCGGUGACGAAGAGUGCGUGACGGUAAUGGGUAAGGAAGCACCGGCUAACUACGUG